rnacentral:misc_RNA from 1 species
CAAAUAGAGUUAAUGUAAGUCGGAAAUGCCGACAUUUUGAUUGCCAUUUACCAACGCAAAGCUAUCGACAUCGGGCGUCGAUUGUUAUACGGCUUGUGUGGUGUAUGUGAAUUGCGUAUUUACGUGCUUACGUUAUUUGUAAUAAUCGUUUAUUUUCAUUACAUAUUUUCAGAAAAGAAUGCAAAUGCAAGCUAUGAAUCAGUUUGGUAAUCAGCGAGGAUUUGGUGGUCCACCUCAACCCCAAAGGCAAGGCGGGCGUCGUGGAAAUAAUAGGGGAUUUCGUAAUUCAAGAUUUGAGCAUAAUCAGAGGAACCAAAAUCAAGGUGUAGGAGGUCAACGGCCUAGCAAUGAGCAUCAACAGCAAAAUCAAACACAACAGCAAAAUAUGCAACAACCUAAGCCACUUAUGCAGCAGAAAACUGAGCCUGCUAACCAGCCACCGGCCAAACCACAACAACAACAGCAACAACAACCACAAAAUCAACAACAACCCCAGCAACAAAAGCAACCAACCACACCUCAACAGAAGCAACCUCAGCAGCAACAACAACCUCAACAGCAGCAGCCACAACAGCAACAAACGCAACAACAGAAGCCUCCACAGAAUACUCCAACCAAAGUGGAAUCUCAGGACCAAGUUGACAAAGAUAUGACUGUUGAUCAUAAGAAUCAGAACAACCAAAAUAAUCAACCUCAGCAACAGAAAAAGAAUGUAAAUGGUAAUUUCUGGGGAAAUAAGCAGUGGAACCAAGGUCAAGCUGGUUAUGGAAACAAGCAGGGGAACACGCCAUUUGGACCCAGAGCUGGUGGCGGUGGUGCAGGACCAGCACGUAAUCAACAACGAAACAACAGUGUAAGAGGCCAAGCUGGUCAUGACAAACAACCUAUGAGAGAGGAAAUGAUUUUGGCCAAUAAGUUAAAAGACUUGGCUGGGCCACUCAUUGACCUGCCACAGAUUGAUCAGCCAGAAGUAAAGUUUAAUGGAAGAAGUCGUUUGUACAUUGGAAACCUCACAAAUGAUGUAACAGAGGAAGAAAUUCAAGCAUUAUUUGCUCCAUUUGGUGAAUCAGCAGAACUAUUUUUGAACAAAGAAAAAAACUUUGGUUUUAUUAAGAUGGAUUAUAGGGUAAAUGCAGAAAGAGCAAAACGUGAGUUGGAUGGCAAAAUGAGAGGAAAUAGAACUUUAAGGGUUAGGUUUGCGCCGCACAACAGUGCCGUGCGAGUAAAGAAUUUGCCGCCUUUCGUGUCCAAUGAACUCCUCUAUCGAGCCUUUGAAAUAUUUGGAAAAAUCGAAAGGGCAUAUGUUCGAGUAGACGAAAGGGGAAAAACCUUGGGCGAGGGUGUCGUUGAAUUUGCGCGCAAACCUAGCGCUUUGGCUGCCAUCCGUAACUGUACUGAUAAAUGCUUCUUUUUAACGUCGUCCCUCCGACCAGUGAUUGUGGAAAGCUUUGAGGAACCAGAUGAAUUUGAUGGUUACCCAGAGAAGAAUUUGCCCAAGAAACACCCAGAAUUUUUAAGAGCUCGUGAGCUCGGACCCAGAUUUUCGGAGUCCGGUAGUUUUGAACAUGAAUAUGGUACAAGAUGGAAGCAGUUACACGAACUGCAUCGUCAAAAGGAAGAGGCUCUGAAAAAGGAACUGGCCGCCGAAGAAGAGAAAUUAGAGGCCCAGAUGGAAUAUGCCAAGUACGAGCACGAGACGGAGCUGCUGCGCGAGCAGCUGCGCCAGCGCGAGCAGGACCGCGAGCGCCAGAAGCGCAGCUGGGAGCUGGCCGAGCGCGCCGCCGACGAGCGCCGCGACGCCGAGCGCGCGCAGCUGCAGCGCUCCGAGAGCGAGCUGGCGCAGCGCAUGCGCCUGCAGGACGACGAGCUGCGCCGCCGCCAGCAGGAGAACACGCUCUUCGUGCAGGCACAACGGUUAAAUUCAAUGUUGGACCGUCAAGAACAGGGCAUGUUUGACCAACAACAACCUAUGGUUUCUGUUUUUAGUUAGACGCUGUCCAGGUUCAUAUACAGAUGUCUUUGGCAUUGGCACUGACUGAAAACUUAAAGCGCUGCUUGAAUAAGAUGUAGGAGCGCGGAAGGCGCCUGGUGCGUCAGGUAUUGCGUCGGAAGGGAAAAUUGUCAUUCGUUAAUAGAUA